rnacentral:misc_RNA from 1 species
GAUGAAGAACGUAGCGAAAUGCGAUAAGUAGUGUGAAUUGCAGAAUUCAGUGAAUCAUCGAAUCUUUGAACGCACAUUGCGCCGUUUGGUAGUCCUUAGGGCAUGCCUGUUCGAGCGUCAUUUAAACCUUCAAGCUAAGCUUGGUGUUGGGUGACUGUCCGCUUCACGGCGGACUCGCCUCAAAAUUAUUGGCGGCCGGUACAUUGGCUUCGAGCGCAGCAGAAACGCGAACUCGGGCCCGUCGUAUUGGCUCCCAGAAGCUAUCUUCACAAUUUUGACCUCGGAUCAGGUAGGGAUACCCGCUGAACUUAAGCAUAUCAAUAAGCGGAGGA